rnacentral:rRNA from 1 species
UCCAGACUCCUACGGGAGGCAGCAGUAGGGAAUAUUGCUCAAUGGGGGAAACCCUGAUGCAGCGACGCCGCGUGGGCGAGGAAGUACCUCGGUAUGUAAAGCCCUAUCAGCAGGGAAGAAACAGGACAGUACCUGACUAAGAAGCCCCGGCUAACUACGUGCCAGCAGCCGCGGUAAUACGUAGGGGGCAAGCGUUAUCCGGAUUUACUGGGUGUAAAGGGAGCGUAGACGGCAGCGCAAGUCUGGAGUGAAAUCCCAUGGCUUAACCAUGGAACUGCUUUGGAAACUGUGCAGCUGGAGUGCAGGAGAGGUAAGCGGAAUUCCUAGUGUAGCGGUGAAAUGCGUAGAUAUUAGGAGGAACACCAGUGGCGAAGGCGGCUUACUGGACGGUAACUGACGUUGAGGCUCGAAAGCGUGGGGAGCAAACAGGAUUAGAUACCCGGGUAAAA